rnacentral:lncRNA from 1 species
UGUUAUCGCAUACGGAGGGGAAGAAGGAAUGUCAGAUCCACAAGAAGCAACCAUAGAAGAGGGACAACUUAGCACUGAAUGUUCUGAGGAUGAGAAAGCAAUCUGUUUGGAAGCGAAUCAUAAGUAAAAAAAAGCUUACAGGAAGAGUCAUUUAUUAUUUAGCUGUGUUUAAAGUCACUCAUCUCUGGAGAUACAUGGAAGAGGAUGCUGUUUGAUACAGGAGGACUGCGGUGACUCUUGCUCCCCUGCAGCCUGUCAUGUGCCCUGGCUCUGCUGUCCCAACUCUGGGUGGCACACAACGACUGUGAUUUAAGAGAGCAGCAGAAGAGAAAGGUGUUUCUGACAACCUUUUUAGAAAAAUUACCCACGACUCUUUGUGAAAUUCAGAUUACAGAGGGCAGCAUCUGCUGAAUUAUUUAGAUUUGUACAUUCAGGUACUACAAUCUUAUAAUCAGAAGAGAGAGUUACUUGUGAAGGACAAUAAAGUAAUAAACAAAAUGUUCUGGAUAAAUAACUAACCAACAUGAUGAGAUUUCAGCCUUGGAGAGCUAUCGAGCUAAUUCUUGCCCAUUUUACUCAUUUGAGUAGUUUCAUUAAGAGCAAACUGCUUCUUAGUAAAUUGCUAGUUAUAAUAAAAACAAUUAAGCUUGUUGUUUUAGUUCUUCUUGUUCCACAUUUUUAUAAUUCUAGUCAUAACCAUUAAAACUUGUACUUUCAUAAUCACUCUGCUAAACCGCUCAGCUUCCUCGCUCUGUAGGACUCUUUUAGCACAUGCAAAAUAGUUAGAACACGAGUAAAUACAUCCAGAACAGGUGCACAAGAGGGACGAUGCACCUGUCUGCUCACUCUGCCCACAAGAGGUAUGUGGUGCUGCAGAGCUAUGAGAUCCAGAACCCGG